UAAUUUAACUUGUAAUUGUUAUUUUAAUUAAUUUGAAUUAUUUGAGCUUAAAUUAUUCCAAUUAUUAUUUGCAGAACAAUUUUGGAAUCAUAUUUUGGGACAACAAGAGUGUUGCCAUACCAUUCACCAUUAUCCACGUCAUCAUUUUAUUCUUAUUCUGUUUUUAAUGUAAUUGGGUCAAACUUUGUGACUUUAGGCCCAUUUUUGGUAGAUUUUGUAGAAGUCCAUAUGAAGGACAACAUUGUAAAAGGGGUUUUUAAAACCCUUGAAUCAGAUUUGGAGACUCUUCUUCCCCUCUACUCAUUCUCCUUUUAUGCAUUGGGACAUUUUCAGCUCCCCCUAUUUUGGGGUUUGGGUUUGCUUUCAUUUUCCCCUUUCUUGUACCGAGUCAAUUUCGUUUUUAAUUGCUAUUUUGUCUAUUUUUCUUAUUGUUGUUUAAAUCUCGCAUUAGCAUUUCAAUUUUGUCCAAAUUUUCGCUUUGCAUUUUGUUCCAACUUCCCAUAUUCCGUUCCAACUUUGCAUUUUCGUUCCAACUU
rnacentral:lncRNA from 1 species